GUGAGGAAUAUUGGACAAUGGCCGAGAGGCUGAUCCAGCCAUGCCGCGUGCGGGAGGACGGCCCUAUGGGUUGUAAACCGCUUUUGUCAGGGGGCAAUAAGUGUCACGUGUGGCACGAUGAGAGUACCUGGCGAAUAAGCAUCGGCUAACUCCGUGCCAGCAGCCGCGGUAAUACGGAGGAUGCAAGCGUUAUCCGGAUUUAUUGGGUUUAAAGGGUGCGUAGGCGGAAGCUUAAGCGUGAGGUGAAAUGCCACUGCUCAACAGUGGAACUGCCUCGCGAACUGGGUUUCUGGAAUGCCCCUGCCGUGGGAGGAAUGUGUGGUGUAGCGGUGAAAUGCAUAGAGAUCACACAGAACACCGAUUGCGAAGGCAUCUCACGAAGGGGUGAUUGACGCUGAGGCACGAAAGCGUGGGGAUCAAACAGG
rnacentral:rRNA from 1 species